rnacentral:lncRNA from 1 species
UUCAGAAGCUCAAAUUACAUGAGUAUUGGGCCAUUUGAAGUUGUCCCACAGCUCUUUUAAUUUUUAGUAAGCCUCUGCCUCUGGACUGUGAACUUCACAAGUGUUUCUUAGUUUUUUUCUCCUCCCUCCUCUUUAGGUGGGACAGGAUGGCUGGAGUGGGCUGGAGUUGGGUAUUUCCCUUCCUUCAGGUCAGUUAGGCUCUAAUAAUAUCCACCUGGUUAGGCUCUGUUAACUAGUUUCUCUUGAGGGCAGGCCUUAUUAAGAAGAGUGCUCUGGGAUGUUUAAAAAUGGUUCCUUUUCCUCUCUCCAUUCUAGACGUCUGAUGAGAUUUUUGUCAGCUAUUUACUGUGAGAACCUGGACGAGCUCCUGGAGGUAAAACUCAACAAAAAUGGGAAGAUCAAAGUGGUGUUUAGAGAAUGAUCAUGAAGUGAAUGCUGACUCCUUUCACGCCGUGACGAGUGUGAUGACUAAACAGGGGAGAAGACACUGAGUGCUGGGAGGUAAGAGAGAUGUGGAAAAGCACUGAACAACAGGAGUGAAAAAAGUACUUUUUAAAAGGUGCUAUACAGCAUCUUUUAGUCAUCUUUGUAUGUUUGAAAAGCUGUACUUCUGUGUGAUACUGAAAGAGGUAAUUGCGUAUUAGGGUAUUGAAUCAUGACACUACAGUUAAAAGCUGUUCACUUUUUAAGUAGCAAUCCUGACAGGGGCAAAAAUCACAUGAUAGGUGCACAGCAGUAGCUUUUAAUGCUGAGAAAAAUAACAACAAAAGGUGUCAAGAAGGAGUCAUCCAUUUGCCUUAGUGCCUCACCUCAGGGCUAACCCAUCUUUAUGAUAACAAGGCUAAUAAUUGAUCUGUCCCUUCAAAGAAAACUUAAAACUAUGCUUAAAUAAGCUGAAUUGAAUGAUGCAGACUUGGGAAUUCUAUGGCCAUUUUCAUAUUGGCUGCUUCUUGUGUUAGCUUUGGAAUUCACAAAUUACUAGCUUUAUCUCUACGAACUGCUUUUUCUGGCACUUAAAAUGUGCAUAAUGUGGGUGGUUGUGAACACUUUAUUUGCUUAACAGCUGGCCCCAGAAUUAAUUCGGGAGGACACUUUUUUUUUUAGAACAGUAGUAGCCCACUGGUUACCUGCAAACCUUAUGGAGCCUAUAGACAUAAUGACCUGAAUGAUAUGUAUUAAAAUAAGCCAAUAAUUUAAAUUUAGGAGAUUUUACAUAAACUUCAGACUCCUAUAUUCCUUGAAAGGCCAG